UCGCCUGCAUGAAGUCGGAAUUGCUAGUAAUCGUAGGUCAGCAUACUACGGUGAAUACGUUCCCGGGCCUUGUACACACCGCCCGUCAAACCAUGAGAGUUGGCAACACCCGAAGUCGGUAGUCUAACCGCAAGGAGGACGCCGCCGAAGGUGGGGUUGAUGAUUAGGGUUAAGUCGUAACAAGGUACC
rnacentral:rRNA from 1 species